AGAUAUGUUUGAUUUUCUUGGUCG
rnacentral:miRNA from 1 species